rnacentral:rRNA from 1 species
AAUCAACGCUGGCGGCGUGCCUAACACAUGCAAGUCGAACGAGAAAGUGGGGGCGACCCUGCGAGUACAGUGGCAGACGGGUGAGUAACACGUGAACAACCUACCCUUGAGUGGGGAAUAACACCGCGAAAGCGGUGCUAAAACCGCAUAACAUCUCUUAACCGCAUGGGGAGGAGAUCAAAAGCGCAAGUUGCUUGAGGAGGGGUUCGCGGCUGAUUAGCUAGUUGGUGAGGUAACGGCCCACCUAGGCAACGAUCAGUAGCCGGCCUGAGAGGAUGAUCAGUCACACUGGAACUGAGACACGGUCCAGACUCCUACGGGAGGCAGCAGUAGGGAAUAUUGCACAAUGGAGGAAACUCUGAUGCAGCGACGCCGCGUGAGUGAUGAAGGCCUUCGGGUCGUAAAGCUCUGUCGCAGGGGAAUAACACAAUGAAGGUACCCUGUAAGAAAGGAUCGGCUAACUUCGUGCCAGCAGCCGCCGUAAGAC